UACGUAGGGGGCAAGCGUUGCCCGGAUUUAUUGGGCGUAAAGAGUUCGUAGGUGGUUUGUCGCGUUGUCCGUGAAAACUCACAGCUCAACUGUGGGCGUGCGGGCGAUACGGGCAGACUGGAGUACUGCAGGGGAGACUGGAAUUCCUGGUGUAGCGGUGGAAUGCGCAGAUAUCAGGAGGAACACCGGUGGCGAAGGCGGGUCUCUGGGCAGUAACUGACGCUGAGGAGCGAAAGCGUGGGGAGCGAACAGG
rnacentral:rRNA from 1 species